UUAAAAUGAGAGUUUGAUCCUGGCUCAGGACGAACGUUGGCGGCGUGCCUAAUACAUGCAAGUCGAACGAAGUCGCCCAAUUAAUUCUUAGUGCUUGCACUAAGAUGAUUUUGGAUCCGACUGAGUGGCGAACUGGUGAGUAACACGUGGGUAACCUGCCCAGAAGAAGGGGAUAACACCUGGAAACAGAUGCUAAUACCGUAUAACAAC
rnacentral:rRNA from 1 species